UAAGGCCCUUUCGGGGGUACACGAGCGGCGAACGGGUGAGUAACACGUGGGUGACCUGCCCUCCACUCUGGGAUAAGCCCGGGAAACUGGGUCUAAUACCGGAUAGGACCACUGAUCGCAUGGUUGGUGGUGGAAAGUUUUUUCGGUGGGGGAUGGGCCCGCGGCCUAUCAGCUUGUUGGUGGGGUGAUGGCCUACCAAGGCGGUGACGGGUAGCCGGCCUGAGAGGGCGACCGGCCACACUGGGACUGAGACACGGCCCAGACUCCUACGGGAGGCAGCAGUGGGGAAUAUUGCGCAAUGGGCGGAAGCCUGACGCAGCGACGCCGCGUGGGGGAUGACGGCCUUCGGGUUGUAAACCUCUUUCGCCAGGGACGAAGAGCAAUUGACGGUACCUGGAGAAGAAGCACCGGCCAACUACGUGCCAGCAGCCGCGGUAACACGUAGGGUGCGAGCGUUGUCCGGAAUUAUUGGGCGUAAAGAGCUCGUAGGCGGUGUGUCGCGUCGGCCGUGAAAACUUGGGGCUUAACUCUGAGCGUGCGGUCGAUACGGGCAUCACUUGAGUUCGGCAGGGGAGACUGGAAUUCCUGGUGUAGCGGUGAAAUGCGCAGAUAUCAGGAGGAACACCGGUGGCGAAGGCGGGUCUCUGGGCCGAUACUGACGCUGAGGAGCGAAAGCGUGGGGAGCGAACAGGAUUAGAUACCCUGGUAGUCCACGCCGUAAACGUUGGGCGCUAGGUGUG
rnacentral:rRNA from 1 species